rnacentral:rRNA from 1 species
AGAGUUUGAUCCUGGCUCAGAACGAACGCUGGCGGCAUGCCUAACACAUGCAAGUCGAACGAAGCCUUCGGGCUUAGUGGCGCACGGGUGCGUAACGCGUGGGAAUCUGCCCUUGGGUACGGAAUAACAGUGAGAAAUUACUGCUAAUACCGUAUGAUGUCUUCGGACCAAAGAUUUAUCGCCCAGGGAUGAGCCCGCGUAGGAUUAGCUAGUUGGUGAGGUAAAGGCUCACCAAGGCUACGAUCCUUAGCUGGUCUGAGAGGAUGAUCAGCCACACUGGGACUGAGACACGGCCCAGACUCCUACGGGAGGCAGCAGUGGGGAAUAUUGGACAAUGGGCGAAAGCCUGAUCCAGCAAUGCCGCGUGAGUGAAGAAGGCCUUCGGGUUGUAAAGCUCUUUUACCCGGGAAGAUAAUGACCGUACCGGGAGAAUAAGCCCCGGCUAACUCCGUGCCAGCAGCCGCGGUAAUACGGAGGGGGCUAGCGUUGUUCGGAAUCACUGNGCGUAAAGCGUGCGUAGGCGGCCAUUCAAGUCAGAGGUGAAAUCCCAGGG